GAUGAACGCUAGCGACAGGCUUAACACAUGCAAGUCGAGGGGCAGCGGGAAUUGUAGCAAUACGACUUGCCGGCGACCGGCGCACGGGUGAGUAACACGUAUGCAACCUGCCCAUCGCAGGGGGAUAAGCGGGAGAAAUUCCGUCUAAUACCGCGUAACAUCAUUUAUAGGCAUCUGUAGAUGAUCAAAGAAAUUCGGCGAUGGGUGGGCAUGCGGCGCAUUAGCUAGUCGGCGGGGUAACGGCCCACCGAGGCGACGAUGCGUAGGGGUUCUGAGAGGAAGGUCCCCCACACUGGUACUGAGACACGGACCAG
rnacentral:rRNA from 1 species